UACGGGGGGGGCAAGCGUUGUUCGGAAUUACUGGGCGUAAAGGGCUCGUAGGCGGCCAACUAAGUCAGACGUGAAAUCCCCAGGCUUAACCUGGGAACUGCGUCUGAUACUGGAUGGCUUGAAUUCGGGAGAGGGAUGCAGAAUUCCAGGUGUAGCGGUGAAAUGCGUAGAUAUCGGGAGGAACACCAGUGGCGAAGGCGACUACCUGGCCUGUUCUUGACGCUGAGGCGCGAAAGCUAGGGGAGCAAACGGG
rnacentral:rRNA from 1 species